GUCGCCUUUCCCUUCCUCCGGUUCCUCUAUCUCUUGCGAAAUCGUCGCCGUCUCCGGAGGAAAUAGUCACCGCCGUGGUUGUACUCCGUCGUUGGAGGUGUUACCGUGCGCGGCAGCCCCUUUCUCGGCCUCUACAGGCUCGCCAAUCGCUGCCCGUCUCGCCAUCCGGCUCUCCGUCAAGCUGCAGCUUCGCCUGCGGCAAAACUCCACUGCUACUCGUCGCCUUCCAUCGACGUCACGGGGGAACUCUCCGCCUCCCGUCGCACCACCGCCGGACAAUCUCUCUAUAAGCUAAGUUUUCUGCCUUCUUUUGCUUAGCUCAAUUCGUGGGUUUAUUUAGCAACCUAUGUAAAUUCGAUUCUUGACUAUUGGUGAUGUUCAAGCUUUGAUCUUGUGAGAGUUUGAUUAUUGAGUCCAUUAAUUGGGUUUGUGGCAGAAGCUUUAUGUUGUGAUUCUUGGCAGAAAAAAAAAUGCUUAGUCUUGUGGAAAUUCCUAUAGCAAGUCUAAGUUCUUGCAUUUGAUUACUGUGGUGAAAACUUGGUUGUUGAGCAAAGGUGUUGUUGUUCUAUGCUUAUACUAAAUCUUUUAUUAGUUAACAGCCGCGGGGGAGAAGGGUUGGAGGUGGAAUACCUCUUGAAGCUGCGGCUGCCUUGAGAAUUCAGCUCUUAAACCUCAGCUUUCUUCCUCUCAAACUUGCUAUGUUGCUGGAAAAUUUGAAGUUGUGUAGGAGAGUGUUCAAAGGUGGCGUGGACGGGUUUUUAUAGGUUGAUCUUGGUGUACUAUGGGGAAUUAAAUGGCUGUUGCUGCAGUUUUGGUUUUACAUAACAGCAAGAUCUCUUAUGAUUCAUUUUUGUAGCAUUCUAAUUCAAGUUGUUUUGGUUUCAUUUGAUGGUACUUGGUACUUAGCCAUUAAAUUCUUUGUUUGUUCUUGCAUGAGAUGCCAAGAGAAUGCAGGAGGCUGCCUUGAGAGGAGGAGGAAAGCUGGCUUUGACUUGCCCUAAAUGUCUUGUAGGUGAGAAAGGAAGGUGUGGCUGUUGUGUUGUUCUCAGGCUCGGCCCGCUCCCUUCGGCCCGACGGACUGCUCAAAGAUGGGCUAUAGUUCGGGCCUGGAGAAGAGGCCCGAAGUGCAUCAAAAAUUUAUCCUUAGUUUUCUUUCUUUGAAGCCUUUGAUCCUCGUAAACUUUUGAAGUUAGUUAAUAGUUUAUUGGAUAUGUAAAGCUAUUCGAAAAUUCUUUAUAUUCCAUAAUGUAUUUUAGUUUGUUUUA